UACAGAGGGUGCGAGCGUUAAUCGGAAUUACUGGGCGUAAAGCGCGCGUAGAUGGUUUUUGUAAGUCAGAUGUGAAAUCCCUGGGCUCAACCUGGGAACUGCAUUUGAGACUGCAUGGCUAGAGUAUGGAAGAGGGAAGUGGAAUUUCCGGUGUAGCGGUGAAAUGCGUAGAUAUCGGAAGGAACACCAGUGGCGAAAGCGACUUCCUGGUCCAAUACUGACGCUGAGUGAGCGAAAGCCAGGGGAGCAAACGGG
rnacentral:rRNA from 1 species